GGCGUAAGCGCACGCAGGCGGUCUGUCUAGUCUGAUGUGAAAUCCCCGGGCUCAACCUGGGAACUGCAUUCGAAACUGGCAGGCUAGAGUCUUGUAGAGGGGGGUAGAAUUCCAGGUGUAGCGGUGAAAUGCGUAGAGAUCUGGAGGAAUACCGGUGGCGAAGGCGGCCCCCUGGACAAAGACUGACGCUCAGGUGCGAAAGCGUGGGGAGCAAACAGGAUUAGAUACCCUGGUAGUCCACGCCGUAAACGAUGUCUACUUGGAGGUUGUGCCCUUGAGGCGUGGCUUCCGGAGCUAACGCGUUAAGUCGACCGCCUGGGGAGUACGGCCGCAAGGUUAAAACUCAAAUGAAUUGACGGGGGCCCGCACAAGCGGUGGAACAUGUGGUUUAAUUCGAUGCAACGCGAAGAACCUUACCUACUCUUGACAUCCAGAGAACUUUCCAGAGAUGCAUUGGUGCCUUCCGGAACUCUGAUACAGGUGCUGCAUGGCUGUCGUCAGCUCGUGUUGUGAA
rnacentral:rRNA from 1 species